rnacentral:rRNA from 1 species
GACGAACGCUGGCGGCGUGCCUAAUACAUGCAAGUUGAGCGCUGAAGGUUGGUACUUGUACCAACUGGAUGAGCAGCGAACGGGUGAGUAACGCGUGGGGAAUCUGCCUUUGAGCGGGGGACAACAUUUGGAAACGAAUGCUAAUACCGCAUAAAAACUUUAAACACAAGUUUUAAGUUUGAAAGAUGCAAUUGCAUCACUCAAAGAUGAUCCCGCGUUGUAUUAGCUAGUUGGUGAGGUAAAGGCUCACCAAGGCGAUGAUACAUAGCCGACCUGAGAGGGUGCUCGGCCACAUUGGGACGGAGACACGGCCCAAACCCCUACGGGAGGCAGCAGUAGGGAAUCUUCGGCAAUGGACGAAAGUCUGACCGAGCAACGCCGCGUGAGUGAAGAAGGUUUUCGGAUCGUAAAACUCUGUUGGUAGAGAAGAACGUUGGUGAGAGUGGAAAGCUCAUCAAGUGACGGUAACUACCCAGAAAGGGACGGCUAACUACGUG